rnacentral:lncRNA from 1 species
GGCAGCUCCCGGAACUUGAGGUAGUCCAUGGCGCGGGUGCACACCAGCGGCUUCUGGGGGUAGUACAGCACAAAGCCCUGCAGGCGUGCGGGGAGGUGGAGAGGGAUAUGAGGGGAGGGGAAUUCAGGAUGGCCAGUGUGUCGGCGGCAGGGAAAGAGGGCCUUGCUCAGCCAGCCCGCCGUGCCCCCCCGUUUACGUGUGUUCCUAUGCCUGCCCCCCCCCUCACCUGCGUGUCCAUGCGCGUCUGGUAGUUGGUGGCGUACAUGCCCAUGGCCUGCUUGCCCAUGGCGGACUGGUAGGUGUUGCGGGGCGACUGGUUGUGGUCGGGGAAGGGGAUGAUGGAGGCGC